UCCAAUUCCCCUUCCUGCUUUGCUUGCUUAACAAUAUUACAGAUACGUCUCAUGUCUCUGUGAGCAGUAGCUCCGGGAAGACACCUCACAAGACCACCAUUGUCCAUUUCCACACCUCUUAUGAUGGAAUCCCCCAACAACAACUGCUUUCUAUUAGGCCUCACCAUAGUCUCCAAGCCUGUCUCCACAACACCACAAGCCUCUCUCCACAACAUCAUUACACUCUGAAAGUGCAGAAAAUGAAUUAUAUAGAGCAACAGACUGUGCAAUAUGCCUUUUAUCCACAACUCUAAGCCUACCAGAUCCUACAGUAAUCCAUCUGCCAUUUCUAGUAUGUCUCUGCGGCAGUGGCUUUGCAGCAGUUCCAGUCUGAGUUUGUUUAUCAGAUAAUUUACAAAUCUCAGACUUCAAGAAUACAAUCUCCUGCAAGAUCAUCCCAAUGGCUAUUCACUGGCCUUACUCCUCCUCCUUUUCUGUGUUGAUUACUGAUACCACUUCUCACACCAAUGGCUAUUCACUGGCCUUACUCCCAAGGAUUUUAGGUUUCUACGAUUCUUCCCCUAUUAACAAUUACCCAAAUAACUGGAAACCUGGUGUACACACUCAGGCGCAAACCUUGCAGUUAUGUCUUAUCUACACAAUGCAGGUACAUUCAUGCAUGCAUAAGAAUUACCACAUGGUCCCUUACAUUAUUGUCUAUACUCUAUUUUAGGUCUUUAUUACAUAGAAACAUAGAAUGUGACAGCAGAUAAGAACCAUUUGGCCCAUCUAGUCUGCCCAAUUUUUUAAAUACUUUCAUUAGUCCUUGGCUUUAUCUUACAGUUAGGAUAGCCUUAUGCCUAUCCCACGCAUGCUUAAACUCCUUUACUUUGUUAACCUCUACCACUCCAGCUGGAAGGCUAUUCCAUGCAUCCACUACCCUAUCAGUAAAGUAAUACUUCCUGAUAUUAUUUUUAAACCUUUGUCCCUCUAAUUUAAGACUAUGUCCUCUUGUUGUGGUAGUUUUUCGUCUUUUAAAUAUAGUCUCCUCCUUUACUGUGUUGAUUCCCUUUAUGUAUUUAAAUGUUUCUAUCAUAUCCUCCCUGUCUCGUCUUUCCUCCAAGCUAUACAUAUUAAGAUCCUUUGACCUUUCCUGGAAAGUUUUAUCCUGCAAUUCAUGAGCCAGUUUAGUAGCCCUUCUCUGAACUCUCUCUAAGGUAUCAAUAUCCUUCCGAAGAUACGGUCUCUUCCCCAGUGGUGUAUCCUGGUUUUGUGCUGCCCUAGGCAAG